UUAGCGUACCAGAUCCCAACGUAACGUAAAUGACCAGUGGAGUUUACAGGAGUGAAGAAACCGAACCUGAAAAUACCAUUGUUGCUGAGAAGUGUCUCUGAGUCUUUGACCGGAGUCGAGAAGGUGAUACUGUCCUGGCCGAAACAGAAUGUUGCAAGUAGAAGUAGAACAAGAAAACAACGUCUGCUGAGUAGAGUCACCAUAACUAUUUGACAAGGAAUGGUGUUAAAUUUGCUUUGUUGUUUCUCUUUUGGAAGAGUUUCAUCUUAAAGAGAGGCCAAUUAAUAAAGUAGUCAUCUUUGUCUCUAUUAGAAGACUUUGAAGAAGUUUUUGGUGCAGACAAAAUUUGAAAUGUGACAAAGAAAGCGACAGGAGUCACAGGACUACUCACGUUAGCCGACUUGUAUUUUUCAUCUCUUGAGUAAAAAUUGUUUACUUGCAGAAGUAACCUAAUCAAUAUAGCAAACCAACCCAAAACAAAAAAAAAACGAUAAUAAUGUCUCAAGACAGAACCUACUCUGGCUUCUCAAGAACAUGUGUCGGUUUUGUUUUUCUGCUUUUAUUCAGAUUCAGUUUCUUCAUCGAGGUUCGUUAAUGCAUCUCAGAGUAGGUCCAGUACUAGAAUCUAUUGAAAUAAUCGACACAGCUCCCUUUCACAUAAAGUGUUUUUAACUGAGGUAAAUAAAAAACCAAAUCUGUAGUUAGUGAAUCUGAACAUAACUUCUCUGAAAUACAUCUCUUAUUCUUUAAUCUAACAAUUAAACAUGCGCAAGAUAACAAAAAUUUGGGAACAUAGGAGUUUCAUAUAAAUAUAUUAAAUAAACAUACAGAAUGGCUUAUGUGAGCUUAACGUCCGGUAACAGCUGUGAGGCUAACAUCGUUGAUAGAGACCUUUUGGCUGCUCUGGCCAGAAGAUUCAGCCUCAAAAACUCUUCUUGUUGCUAUAAAUGCAGGCUGCUUCGGCUCAGGGAGGUUAGUGUUCUCGGUAGUUAGCAUCCAAAUCAUGGUUGACACAUUUGGUCUAUCGCUUGCAACUUCUUGCACACACAACAAACCAAUCUGAAUACACUUUGUAAACUCUUUCUCAAAACAUUCAUCAAAGACGGUUGGAUCUGCUAGAGAAGCAGCCUCACCAUCAUUCCAUAGCUUCCACGCCUUUAAAAAGAGACCAAACUUAAAUAAGUUUCAAAACAUAAGCAUAAGUUACUAAACAUUGAUUCGUACACUUACAUAAGCUAAAAGGUUUAGAUUGUUGUCUUCCUUGUGGGAGUUUUUUUUCCCACUUAUGAUCUCUAGAAAUAUAACUCCCAAGCUGAAAACAUCUGAUUUUUCUGAAAAGAAACCUUCCAUUGCAUAUUCCGGUGACAUAUACCCGCUGCAAAAAACAAAAACAAAAUUUUCAUUCAAGUUGUUAAGGUAAAAGUAACAAUUCUUGUUGGAAAUGGAUACUUACUAUGUCCCAACAACCCUUGUUGUGUUAGCUUCAUCUUCAUUUGCUCGGAAAACUCUUGCAAGUCCAAAAUCAGAUAUCUUCGGAUUCAGAUCGUCAUCUAACAAAAUGUUGCUGGCUUUUAGAUCUCUGUGUAUGAUCUUUAGUCUUGAAUCUCUGUGAAGGUACAAAAGACCUCUGCAAAUCCCUUCCAUUAUGUUGAACCGAGUCUUCCAAUCAAGAAUAUUUUGCUUCAUUGGGUCUGAGAGAAGCUAGCAAAAGCAUUAGAAUUCUCUUCAAGUAAACACAGAGUUAAGAAACAGAGGAGAUAAGUUUACCAAAUAGAUAGGCAUCCAAGCUUUUCUUUGACAUGUAUUCAUAUACUAAUAACCUUUCUUCACCUUCAAUGCAACAUCCAAGUAACUUCACUAGAUUCCUAUGUUGCAACUUUGAAAUCACAACCACUUCAUUCAAUAGUUCCUCAAGUCCUUGUCCUGAUGCCCUUGAGAGCCUCUUCACUGCAACUUCUUGCCCAUUUGGCAAUAUUCCCUGAAGAAAAAUAUUACCAGUCACUUAACCUUGUAUGAGAUUAUCAUAAGUAUUCUUGUUUAGUUCAUUUACCUUGUAAACAGGACCAAACCCGCCUUGCCCGAGCUUGUUUAUGAGCGAGAAGUUAUCGGUUGAUGUAGCCAACACUUCAAACUCAAAAAGAGGAAGAUCUUUGAGCUUGACUUGGUUAGAAGCAGACUCGUUACCACUUGUAAGAUCUUCCAUUCUUUGAAACAAUAGCUCUGCACUUCUAUUUUCCUCUGGUGCUGGUGCUGCAAUGCAAAGGCAAUGAUUAUUAGAGACAAAGUCUCCCACAUCAGUAGUUGGAAGGGAUCCUUAGUACUCCUUCUGUUUCAUAUUACUUGUGGUUGUAGGGUAAAAUUUUUGUUUCAAAAUAAAUAUCCUUUUAUAAUUUCAAUGCAAAAUUUAUUGAUUUUAUAUUUUUAUUUAUUUUUUAAUUGGUUGAAAUGUGGUUAGGUGUAUUGGUAAUGAUGUCUUUAUCUAGUUAAUAUACAAAAUUAAAUGUUUUCUUAAUGUGUGUGCCGAAGUUUAAAACGACAAGUAAUCUGAAACGAAGGGGUCAAUCCAGUUAUCACCAAAACUUAACAAUGAUCAAUGAAACAAACAAUCUGAAGCUAUCUUUAUGGAGUAAACAAAACUUUAACCUGGACGCCUUUUAAAUUUCCUGCAUGCCAAAAGAACACAGACGGCUGCAACAAAAACAAUGCCUAGCACGGAUGCUGUGACCAUAACCGUUCGCUUACUAUGUGUUUCUACAAUGAGAAAUCAUAACUUUAAUGAAGUCAAAAUGAAUGGAGAAGAAGAAAACAAAUGAGAAUAUUAGAGUUUAUUUUACUUACUGAAUUCGGAAUGCGAAACCCGAAUAUAGAGAUCAAUACCACUCCCCAAAAGUGAUUGCAUAUCAACUAAGCUACCACUCCAAAGCAUGCAGCCAAUUCCUCGGUCAUAAGCAUAAGCAGUGCAAGAACAGUUAUCUAAACAAACUUUAGGACAAUCCUUCUCAUUAGCUACAGACUUCUCCACAUUUGCUGGUAAUUUCAUCUUCUGCAUUUUAAAAAACCUAUCUCCUUUUCCUCCACCACCAGUACUUACAUUGCACUUCAAUGGAACUCUUCUCACACAUUCAUUAGUAAAGAUCCCUCGGUUCCACUCUGUGCUAUUCCUAGGCACAUACCCUUUCACGCAUUUACAAGGCGGAACUUCCUGUAAACCGCAGCUCGCGAACGGACCACAUCUAUUGUACGCAUCACAAGUUGUUGAUGGAAUAAUGGCGUCGACCGUCCAAGCUCUCGUGGAAGUGUUCCAGCUUCUCAUGUAGAGAGCUCCGUCAGGAUCCAAGUUAAAGUGAUGCAUGAAAGAGUCAGUAGCAUAAGAGAUUAAAAACGUUCCUUGGUUAGCAUUGGAAACGUUGAACCCAUCAAGAAACAGGAGAGAUAUCGAAUCCGGUAAACCGAUGAAAAUCUGACCGUUCCACGGUCCGCUACGCCAGACUGGGACAUUGCUCUUCCAGAUAAGAAGCUGAGGAAACGUGGAAAGGGAAAUGCCAGCUGUAUAGUUCCCUGUGGAAGGAUCUGUAUAGCUUCUCCAUGAAGUAAGCUUUAGAUUCUCGCCGGUUUUGUUGUUGGUCCCAAUAGUCAUUACUGGCAAGAAAGAGUUAUAAGGAUGCUUGAAACUCUCCCACAGGAUCUCACCGUUGUCUUGUAACCUAAGAUUCCCAUUAUCCAUUAGCUGAACCGAAGUAUCAUUUGUAGCCACUGGUACUGUGAUGUUUGUCGACCAUAUAAGGCGGCUUCGACCAUCGGUAACCACGAGGUUUCCGUCUUCAGAGAUUGAAACAAGACCAGAAGUGUCGUUGAUGGGUGUGUCCUUGUUAGCAACCCAAACCACAGUUUGAACUUGAACCUUAUCGUACCAGAUCCCAACGUAACGCAACCGUGUAGUGGAGUUUAAAGGAGUGAAGAAACCGAACCUGAACAUACCGUUGCUGCAGAGAAGUGUCUCUGAGUCUUUGACUGGAGUUGAGAGCGUGAUCCUGUCCUGGCCGAAACAGAACCUUACAGAGAAGGAAGAGAAUGAUGUAAGAAGUAUAAGAACAAGAAAACAACGUCUGUUGAGUAGAAUCACCAUAAUGGUUCCAAAUUUUCUUUGUUGUUUCUCUUUGGAAUAUUUUCAUCUUAAGAGAGGUCAAUUAAAUAAAGUAGUCUCUACAAGAAGACUUUGAAGAAGUCAGUAGUGGAGUUGGUGGAGAUAAGAUUUGAAGUGUAACGAAGAAAGUAAGAAGACUAACUGCGUUAGAAGACUUUCAUCUCUUGAGUAACUUUAAUGACUUAUGAAGUGUAUAUUUCUGUUAAAACGUAUGUAUUACACUCACUACAGUAUACCGUAAGUGAGCCCAAGUAUUUAUAGUAGAGUAACAAUCACAACGGUCUAACAACCUCAUUGUAACGACCCAACGGCUUAACUAACUUGUAACUAACUGAUCCACGUCAGCUUCUCUUUCUUCCCUUUCUCUGUCCCACCAGUUCCUCUAUUCCUCACCAUUGUUUUCCUUCAGAGCUUAUCAACUUGUUUACUUGCAGAAGUGACGUAAUAAAUAUAGCAAAGCAACCCAAAACAGAAAACGAUAAUAAUUUUCUCUGUCAAGACAGAACCUACUGUGGCUUUUCAAGAGCAUGUAUCAGGUUUUGGUUUAUAUGAUUUUCUUCAGAAUCAGAUUAGUUAAUGCAUCACAGAGUAGGUCAAGUUAGGUACUAGAAUCUAUUGAAAUUAUCAACCCAGCUCACUUUCACAUAAAGGAGUUUUUAACGUGAGGUAAAUAAUACCAAAUCUGUAGCUUGUGAAUCUGAACAUAACUUCUCUGAAAUACAUCUCUUAAUUCUUUAAUCCAACAAUUAACAUGUGCAAGAUAACAAAAUUUGCAAACAUAGGAGUUUCUCAAAACAUAUAAUACUAAAUAAACAUACAGAUUGGCUUUUGUGAGCUUAACGUCCUGUUAUAGCUGUGAGGCUCACAUCAUUGAUAGAGACAUUCUGACGACUCUGGCCAGAAGAUUCAGCCUCAGAAACUCCACUUGUUGCGAUAAACGCAGGCUGCUUCGGCUUAGGGAGCUUCAUGUUCUCAGUAGUUAGCAUCCAAAUCACGGUUGAAACAUUUGGUCUAUCGUUUGCAACUUCUUGCACACACAACAAACCAAUCUGAACACAUUUUGUAAUCUCUUUCUCAAAACACUCAUCAAAGACAAUUGGAUCCGCUAGAGAUGCAGCCUCACCUUCAUUCCAUAGCUUCCACGCCUUUGAAAAGAGACCAAACUUACAUAAGUUUCAAAGCCUAAUCAUAAGUUAUUGAACACUGAUUAGUGUACUUACAUAAGCUAAAAGGUUUAGAUCAUUGUCUUCCUUGUGAGAAUUUCUUCUCCCACUUAUAAUCUGUAGAAAUAUAACCCCCAAGCUGAAAACGUCUGACUUCUCUGAAUAUAAACCUUCCAUUGCAUAUUCCGGUGACAUAUAACCGCUGCAAUAUAAACAAUCUCAUUCACACUGGCUAUGAUACAACCGAAUUUCACAAUGUUUGUAGUACAUUUUCUUGUGAAUGGAUACGUACUAUGUUCCAACAACCCUUAUUGUGUUAGCUUCAUCUUCAUUCACUUGAAAAACUCUUGCAAGUCCGAAGUCAGAUAUCUUCGGAUUCAGGUUCUCAUCUAACAAAAUGUUGCUGGCUUUUAGAUCUCUGUGUAUAAUCUUUAGUCUUGAAUCUCUGUGAAGGUACAAAAGACCUCUGCAAAUCCCUUCCAUUAUGUUGAACCGAGUCCUCCAAUCAAGAAUCUUUUGCUUCAAUGGGUCUGAGAGAAGCUAACAAAAGCAUUAACUUCUUCUUCAAGUAAAAAACAGAGUUAAGAAACAGAGGAGAUAAGUAUACCAAAUAGAUAGGCAUCCAAACUUUUCUUUGGCAUGUAUUCAUAUACUAACAACCUCUCUUCACCUUCUAUGCAACAUCCAAGUAACUUCACCAGAUUCCUAUGUUGCAACUUUGAAAUCACAACAACUUCGUUCAAAAGUUCAUCAAGUCCUUGUCCUGAUGCCCUUGAUAGCCUCUUCACUGCAAUUUCUUGCCCUUCUGAUAAUACUCCCUGAAGAAAAAGAUUACCAGUCGCUUAUUCCGUGAUAGUCUCUUUUGAAAAUGGAUUCUUCAUUAAUGCAUUUACCUUGUAAACAGGACCAAAGCCGCCUUGCCCGAGCUUGUUUCCCAGAGAGAAGUUAUCUGUUGCUGUAGCCAACACUUGAAACUCAAAGAGAGGAAGCUCCUUGAGAUUUGCUUGGUUAGAAGUAGGCUCAUUACCACUUGUAAGUGCUUCCAUUCUCUGUAACAAUAUCUCCGCACUUCUAUUUUCUUGUGGUUCUGCUAAGACAAUGAUGGACUAAGCAAACAAGCUUUUGGUAAAAGAAACAAUCUAACGAGUAAACAAAACUCUAACCUGGACGCUUUUUGAAUUUCCAGCAUGCUAUAAGAAUGCAAACCGUAGCAGCAAACGCAACACCUAGAACAGGUGCUGUGAUCAUAAUAAGUACUCGCUCGCUAUGUGUUUCUACAAAAAGUUAGGUGAAAGAUAUAAGUUAAUGAAGAGUAAAACAAGUGAGACUUAGAGAUUUUUACUCACUGAGUUCAGAAUGUGCAAGUCGAAUGUAAAGAUCAAUGCCACUUCCCAAGAAUGAUUGCAUAUCUACCAAUUCACCACUCCAAAGCAUGCAUCCUAUUCCUUGAUCAUAUGCAUAAGCUGUGCAAGAACAGUUAUCUAAACAAACCUUAGGACAAGCUUCCUUAUUGGCUUGAGACGGUUCCACAUUAACUGGUACUUUCAUCUUCUCCAGUUUCAAAAACCCAUCUCUUUUUCCUCCACCAUUACCACUUCUAUUCCCAAGUCUUUGGCACCGUAAUGGAGCUCUUCUCACACAUCCAUUCAUCCAAUUCCCUGCAGUCCACUCUGUGUUAUUCCUUGGCACAAACCCUUUUACACAUUUACAUUGUGGAUCUUCCCCGGGAUUGCAGCUCCCAUAUGGACCACAUCUACUGUAUGAAUCACAAUCUGUGGAUGGAAACCUAACACCGACUCUCCAAUCAUUCAUAGAAGGUCUCCAAUCUCUCUGAUAUAUAGCUCCGUUAGGAUCCAAGGUAAUGUGAUACAUGAAAGAAUCAUUUGCAUAGGUCAAUGAAACCAUUCCUUGGUUAUCAUUGUUAAGGUUAAGCCCAUCAAUGUUCAGAAGGGUAUCCAUAUCCGGUAAACCGAUGAAUACCUGACCGUUCCAAGGACCGCUACGCCACUUUGUAACAUUGUUGUACUUGGUUAGAAGCUCAGGAAACGGGAAAGGAACAAGACUAACUGUGUAGUUCCCUGUUGAAGGAUCUACAUAGCUUUUCCAAGAAGUAAGUCCUAGAUUCUCUCCGGUUUUGAGGUUGGUCAUAAGAUUCAUUCUUGGCAACAAAGUAUUGUAGUUAUGCUUGAAACUCUCCCACAGAAUAUCUCUGUUGUCUUGUAAUACAAGAUUCCCAUUAUCCAUUAGCUGAACCCAUGUAGCAUUUGGAGACACUGAUGCUGUAACGUUGGUCGACCAUACAUGGCGGUUUUGACCAUCCUUAACCACGAGAUUUCCUUUGCCAGAGAUCGAGAUAACACCAUAAGUGUUGUUGAUGGGGGUGUCUUUGUUAGCAACCCAAACAACAGUUUGAACUGGAACCUUAUCGUACCAGAUCCCAACAUAACGUAAAUGACCAGUGGAGGUUACAGGAGUGAAGAAACCGAACCUGAAAAUACCAUUGUUGCUGAGAAGUGUCUCUGAGCCUUUGACCGGAGUCGAGAAGGUGAUUCUGUCUUCACCAAAAGAGAGCCUUACAGAGAAGCAAGAGAAUGCUGCAAGUAGCAGAAGAAGAAUGUGACGACGUGCGUUUAGUAGAACCACC
rnacentral:lncRNA from 1 species